AGUGAACGCUGGCGGUAGGCCUAACACAUGCAAGUCGAACGGCAGCACAGUAAGAGCUUGCUCUUACGGGUGGCGAGUGGCGGACGGGUGAGGAAUACAUCGGAAUCUACUUUUUCGUGGGGGAUAACGUAGGGAAACUUACGCUAAUACCGCAUACGACCUACGGGUGAAAGCAGGGGAUCUUCGGACCUUGCGCGAUUGAAUGAGCCGAUGUCGGAUUAGCUAGUUGGCGGGGUAAAGGCCCACCAAGGCGACGAUCCGUAGCUGGUCUGAGAGGAUGAUCGGCAGGACGGUGAGUGAGACACGGCGCAGACGUCUAAGGGAUGCAGCGGUGGUGAAUAGUGGACAAGGGGAGAAAGACGGAGCCAGCAAUGCUGCGGGAGUGAUGAAGGCCGUAGGGAUGAAAAGCUCGUGUACCCGGCAUGACAAGGAGAGGAGAGGGAGAAUAAGCGCGGGCUAACGCGGUG
rnacentral:rRNA from 1 species